rnacentral:rRNA from 1 species
GACGAACCGUGCGAACGUUGUUCGGAAUCACUGGGCUUAAAGGGCGCGUAGGCGGACUGCCAAGUCCGGGGUGAAAUCUUUCGGCUCAACCGGAAAAUAGCCUCGGAGACUGGCGGUCUGGAGUGAGGUAGGGGCAGCUGGAACUUCCGGUGGAGCGGUGAAAUGCGUUGAUAUCGGAAGGAACGCCGGUGGCGAAAGCGAGCUGCUGGACCUUUUCUGACGCUGAGGCGCGAAAGCCAGGGGAGCAAACGGGG